UACGAAGGGGGCUAGCGUUGUUCGGAAUUACUGGGCGUAAAGCGCGCGCAGGCGGUCUUCCAAGUCAGUGGUGAAAGCCCGGAGCUCAACUCCGGAACUGCCAUUGAAACUGUUAGACUUGAGGAUGAGAGAGGUGAGUGGAAUUCCCAGUGUAGAGGUGAAAUGCGUAGAGAUCGGGAGGAACACCAGAGGCGAAGGCGGCGACCUGGACAGUUACUGACACUCAACUACGAAAGCGUGGGGAGCAAACAGG
rnacentral:rRNA from 1 species